GACGAACGCUGGCGGCGCGCCUAAUACAUGCAAGUCGAGCGAUGGAACGUUAACAGUACUCUUCGGGGGGUAGCGGCGGAGGAUUAACGAAGGACGGGUGAGUAACACGUGAAUAACCUGCCAUAUACAGGGGGAUGGCGUCGAGAACCCGGGAUAAUUAGCACAUAAAAUCUUAAUGAUACAUGACAGAACUGCCAAAACUCAGAUAGGCUACGAUGGACUCUCGGCCAGUUCGCAAGUUGGUAGAGUAAAAGCCUACCAAGGCGUCGAUGGGCAGCCGGCCAGAGAGGGUGAACGGCCACAUUGGAACUGAGCACCGGUCCAGACUCCUACGGGAGGCGGGAGUGGGGAAUAUUGCACAACGGCGGGAGCUCUGAUGCAGCGACGCCGCGUGAACGAUGUAGUCUUUGGAGACGAAAAGUGUUUUUAUAUGGGAAGAUAAUGACGGUACCAAAAGAAAAAGCCCCGGCUAACUACGUG
rnacentral:rRNA from 1 species